rnacentral:lncRNA from 1 species
GUCAUCUCAGGGGGUGAUGGCGGAUGUUCAGGUUGAAGAUAUUUCCUGGUGUGGUUGGUGUCCGGCGUCUGACCCAGUGGGUGAAUGUUGGAAAAGAAGAAAGUCUGUCGGUUCUGUUGGUUUUUUUUGAUAAAGAGCAAAUACCUACGCAUGUGAAGCUUGGUUAUGUAAAAUACGACGUAAGAGCAUUCGUCCACAAACCAUAAGAAUUGUAAAGGAUUUGGCCAUGUUUCAAGUGUGUGCAGACGGACAGAGUAUACUGAAGAACGACAAUACAGUGCCACCGACACGGCCCGCUACCAAAACCUGCGGGCUCUCCUUCACUGCAGCCGACUGGGCCACCAUUGUUCCUGUUCCCAAGAAAGCGAAGGUCCACAGACGACGCAAUCGCCAUCACACUGCCCUAUCCCAUCUGGACAAGAGGAAUACCUAUGUAAGAAUGCUGUCGAGAGCAUUCAAUCGAGAGCAUCCUGUCGGGCUGUAUCACCGCCUGAUACGGCAGCUGCUCCGCCCAUAACCGCAGAGCUCUCCAGAGGGUAGUGAGGUCUGCACAACGCAUCACCGGGGGCAAACUACCUGCCCUCAAGGACACCUACACCACCCGAUGUCACAGGAAGGCCAAAAAGAUCAUCAAGGACAACAACCACCCGAGCCACUGCCUGUUCACCCCGCUACCAUCCAGAAGGCGAGGUCAGUACAGGUGCAUCAAAGCUGGGACCGAGAGACUGAUAAACAGCUUCUAUCUCCAGACCAUCAGACUGAUAAACAGCUUCUAUCUCCAGGCCAUCAGACUGAUAAACAGCUUCUAUCUCCAGACCAUCAGACUGAUAAACAGCUUCUAUCUCCAGACCAUCAGACUGAUAAACAGCUUCUAUCUCCAGACCAUCAGACUGAUAAACAGCUUCUAUCUCCAGACCAUCAGACUGGUAAACAGCUUCUAUCUCCAGGCCAUCAGACUGUUAAACAGCUUCUAUCUCCAGGCCAUCAGACUGGUAAACAGCUUCUAUCUCCAGGCCAUCAGACUGUUAAACAGCUUCUAUCUCCAGGCCAUCAGACUGAUAAACAGCUAUCACUAACUCAGAGAGGCUGCUGCCUACAUGCAGACUUGAUACCAUUGGCCACUUUAAUAAAUGUAUCACUAGUCAUCUUAAAUAAUACCACUUUAAUAUUGUUUACAUAUUCUACAUUACACAUCUCAUAUGUAUAUAAUGUACUCUAUACCAUCUACUGCAUCUUGCCUAUGCCGCACUGCCAUCGCACAUCCAUAUCUUUAUAUGUACAUAUUCUUAUUCAUCCCUUUACAUUUGUGUGUAUAAGGUAGAUGUUGUGAAUUUGUUAAAUAUUACUGCACUGUCGGAACUAGAAGCACAAGCAUUUCGCUACACUCACAUUAUUAACAUCUGCUAAACCAUGUGUAUGUGACCAAUAAAAUUGGAUUUGAUUUGAUUAGAAGAACGACGGUGUUGCAGUUGUCUUGGAGAUCACAAGUUCCCAGAGUUCCCU